UCAAAAAUAAUUAAUAAUUAAAUAUUUUCUCAACGUAAGUGAGAUACAUUACUUUAUGUUAAUUCUUG
rnacentral:tRNA from 1 species